UUUUUAAAUUUUCUUUUCUUGUGCAUCGCUAUUUAUAAAAUAGCCGUUCGCUAUUUAUCGCUAUUCGCCAUGUGGCAUAUAGGUACCUUAUCGCUAUUCGCUAUUUACAACUAUAUUGACGAUAGAAAAGUAUGUUUUGAUCGUAUGCUUGAUUAGGUGAUGUUGUAUCUAUCGCACUGACAGAGGGAACUUCAGGAUUUCACAGAAUAAAUAACGGGCGGUUUCUGAUUUUGCACAUCACAACCGUAUUCAGUCAUUAUUGAGAGGCGGAUUUUUAACAAGUAAAAGACCUGUAGAUGAAGAAAGGCCUUCCGAAGUUGCAGCGAGUGAAUUGGUUCCAUUGAGUCAACGUCACACUGUUUCCUGUUUAUGUUGACACUAAAACAUUACAAAUAUAGCGCUAAUAUAGACGUGGCAAAUGGGCGGUUAGGUGAGCAUAGAUCGGGUCGGUGA
rnacentral:lncRNA from 1 species